AUACGGAGGAUCCAAGCGUUAUCCGGAUUUAUUGGGUUUAAAGGGAGCGUAGGUUGACAUAUAAGUCAGCUGUGAAAGUUUACGGCUCAACCGUGAAAUUGCAGUUGAUACUGUAUGUCUUGAGUGUACAAGAGGUGGGCGGAAUUCGUGGUGUAGCGGUGAAAUGCUUAGAUAUCACGAAGAACUCCAAUUGCGAGGGCAGCUCACUGGGGUACAACUGACGCUGAGGCUCGAAAGCGUGGGGAGC
rnacentral:rRNA from 1 species